AAAAUCAUAGGGGUCUUCCUCGUCUGGAUAAUCACUCCACCGCAUUUUUGGGGCUGGAGCUUGUUGACUGGCUGGCUUUGGUUGACUAGUAGAUGUUUGUGACGCAGGAUAGGCAUCACUGUCUGCAUCAUCAUUCAUUUGAGAGGCUUGAAGCAUUAAUUGGCGAGCAAGAUCUUGUAGUUCUAGAAAUAAACACAUCUUUAUACCAUCUAAAAUCAGAUAAUUUGGGGCAUCUUAAAUUACUCAAUUGAUCAUGUAUUCUGGCAGUAGUAUUACUGGGUGUUCCAAUAAAGUGAUCGACUAUUGUGUAAAGUAAUGCGUUGACUCCAUCCUCAAUGCCUUGACCUAUUUGUUCAUCAAAAAUAGGGAGGCCAUCUUCAUUAAGUUUUAGCGCAUGAAUUAUCCAUUGCUUAGACUCAUGAGUUAAGUGAUUAUCCCACCAAGAACGAAGAGUUCCGGUGAAACCUGUUUCUAACAAAGGGACAAUUUCAGAUUGUCUGAAACUUUGAUUGGUGAUGUAACUGUUGGCUACCAUAGACAUAUGUUGAAGCUUAUUAAGAAUUUCUUGUUCGGAAAGACCAUCAAUAUUCCAUUCAUACAAUUUAUCAGAAGAAACAGAAAACUGGCUUUGAGUAUUUCGUUCUUCGAACUGGAUAUCAGGUGGCGUAGGCUUAGGAUACCAAUUUUUUGUGAGGCUAGUAGGGCUGACUCUGUUUGUUAAUCUUUGUACUUGUGGACUUUGUUCAAGCUCAAGAUUUUUAAACGCAUUUUCAAUUUUUGAAAUAUUACUAGACUCAGUAUCGAUGCUAAAAAUUGAUUCAGAUUCAGAGGAGGGUUGAAAGGUGAAAGGUGACUUUGAAAUUCCUAAGACUUUGACACUUGUUUCAACCUUUUCUUUAUCCUUCCGUUUGGUUGGAGUUAAUUCUUCUAACAUUUUCUCGAUUUUUGUCAUUGUGGUUUUUGUUUUAAAAGUUGGACUGGAUUUUAGAUCCUGAAAGGUAACUAAUGGUUUCUGGUCAUGCGUCUUAAUAGAAUUUUCUUUUGGAAGCAAUUUGUCAACUUUUGUCUCUAUCUUGUCUAAUUGUUUACCUAUGACUACUAAGCUUUGAUUUGUAUAAUUAUUUUGUUCAAUCACCAUUUUAUUUUCUAAAUCAGGGAUCUUAAAAGGACUGGCAAUAAUUUGUGCAUUCUGGUGCUAGAUAACUAUGGAUUCAACUGGAUGGUGACUAGCAAGGAUUUUAGUGUGAUCUAUUUUUUCCCAAUUUUCUUGAGUCAGGGUUUUUAAUUCAUUAGUUAAAUGACGGCUUUCUACAAAAUCAAGAUAAUAGAUUUCGACUUUGGCAGUGCGCAUGUAUUCUUUCCAUUCAUUAAAUAUAUGUUGUCUUUUGGCUCUAUCUGGGAUUAUUGAAUGAUAAUUAUCUCUUCUUGCUUGAUUUUCAGGAGCAUGUAUGACAGGACCCGAUCCAAAUUCCACUUUGAAAUCCGAGCCAGACCCUGUGCGUGUCCGACACCUGGCGAAUGUCGGGCACAAAUGACCUAUUUGCCCUUCUAUACAAACAUGCUAAAAAUAACAAGGUUGACUUCUACCGAAAAACUGGCAGAGUUUCCCUUGUAUCUGGCUCAAUACCAAAAUCUUACACCUGUCAAAACAAGUAUAUAUGUACAACCAACUGCCAGCAUACAUAUAUAUAUUCCAACAGUUCAAAUCUCAGUCUAGGGCAAAACAUCAGAGCGACUACUAAAAAUUUACAAAAGAGUGAAUCUUUGUACAAAAUACAAAUCCUACAUCAAAGAAAGGCGCGGAAGAUGGGAAGUGGCCCGGUGGUGGAUUCCUGUGCACGUCUACUGCCUGGGGGCGCAAAACAACAAGAAGGGUGAGUGGACCCAAAAACAAAGUUUAGAAAAUACUAUAUGAACAUACUAACCCCACUGUAAAAACAGUUAUACAAACUAACUUAUUUUCUAUAUUUCUGAAAUCAAUGCAUGUAUAUAACUAUACCUUUGAAAACAGUUGAUAACUAUCACCUAGGUGUACCCUUAUUUCCGUCAAAUCCUUAUAUCCGUCAAUUCCUUGCAUCACCAUGGGUGACACAUACUCGCAGGUCUCAGUGACACGAGGUCAGUCUGAGCCGCAACUCGCAGAAUUCAGGGAACCGUAGUCCAUCUUUAUCCGCAUUACUCGCUCCACACGAGUUCGAGUACCAAGGAACUCGUGGGGCAACUGUCAAGCAUGCUGACUAAACCGAAGGCAACAAAUAUAAUCCGAAGGCAACAUGUAAUAACUGGGUACAAGGUGGUUUAAGAAAAUAUAAAGUUUCUGAAGAAAAUCUUAUGAAUAAUUAACUUUCUGUAACCUUUAAAAUUCUGCUGCCAUUUAUCUGAUAAUUAACGAGAAUAUCUUUUCCUAUAUUCUUAAAAGGAAACUUCACUCGGCAGCAUGUAACAUAAAAUAUUUAACAGCAUAAAACAGCUUAUAACUGAAACUGAACUGCUUAACUGAAACUGAACUGAUUAAAUUCAUUUAUAAAAACAAAGAGUCCACUCACUGAUAGUCUGAGCUUGCUGGACCUCUUGAAGGUCCCUCCUGCGGGUCAACUGGUGCCCGGGUGCCUGAUUCAAUGAGCAUAAUAUUCUAUUAAUACAAUAUAGUAUUAAAUUAAAAACCCUACCCCCGGCUCCUAAAAGUACGUGCGUCAAUUUAAAGUGAUCCCUAUGCCCAUAACAGCUUUCCUUCCACGUGGGAUCGUUUAGCGGUAUCUUGGGACUCAAAAAGCGCUAAAGUCCAAAAAGUCAAUCCGGAACCCCACGGGUAUAAUAUGAUCCGGAUGCCGCUAGAAGGUCCAAUAUAUUUAGGACACAUGUCCCGAGGGUAUUGGUGUCAAUCGGACGGUCGGAUUGAUCACAAUCCUGUAAUCGCAUAACUUCUAAACCCUAGCCCUAGGGUUCGCGUUUUUGGAGUAUCCGGGUCUCCGAUUCACAAUCCGUCGAAUCCUACACGUUCCUAAAAUUAUCUAGAGUAACAUAUCUAAAAUUGAUUACGAUCCAACGGCUCAACAGUAUUGAACCCGGUAAUCGCACAAUAUGGAAAAUCCGUUCAAGGCUCAAACGGUAUCCAAAUUGAGAUCCGCGAAUUCCUAUGCGCUCGUGACGACCCGAGAGUCACAAAACUGUACAAAAUUACUUCACCACCCUAGCCCACGAGCCCCAGCACGCGCGGGCAGAUUUGGGUGUUUUAAGCAAUUUCGGGUGGUCGAAAAAUCUCGGAACCAGGACUCCAAACUCCUAUCCUAGGUAAAACACCCCAUUUGGAGUCACUUUUGUUCUUGGACCUACCCCAAAAAGUAGCCGAAAAUGUCCGAACACGGAGGCCGAAAGUCGGCCGAAUUUCAAUUUGAAAAUCGAGUGAUCUACAGCAAAAAUUGAUCGAAACCCAGCCAACCAGCAGUUAGAACACGAAAAAUAGCUAGAAAUCGAUACCUUACACGACUGAUUUGGUGGCCGGAUGAGGGAGAAACUGAGGUUGGAAAAUCUGCCAAAACUGCUGCGUUUUCCAGCAGUUUCCGGCGGCUCCAGACAGCAGCAGGGGCGGCGGAUGGGCUGGGGUUGAUGGCGGGAGCUGGCCGGUGCUGCUGGGUCCGGUCCGGAGGGUCGGGGUGGCGUGAGGUGGCGUUGGGGUGGCUUGGAAGGUGGCUGCCCGACUGGUUUUCUAGAACUAUCGGGAGGGAGAGAGAGAGAGAGAGAGA
rnacentral:lncRNA from 1 species